rnacentral:rRNA from 1 species
UUGGAGGGCAAGUCUGGUGCCAGCAGCCGCGGUAAUUCCAGCUCCAAUAGCGUAUAUUAAAGUUGCUGCAGUUAAAAAGCUCGUAGUUGAAUUUCGGGACCAAUAUGUCGGUCGUGCCUCGGUACGUACUGGCAUCGUUGGUUUCUCCCUUCUGGCGAACCAUGAUGUCAUUUAUUUGGUGUCGUGGGGAAUCAGGACUGUUACUUUGAAAAAAUUAGAGUGUUUAAAGCAGGCUCACGCUUGAAUACAUUAGCAUGGAAUAAUGAAAUAGGACGUUUGAUUCUAUUUUGUUGGUUUCUAGGAUCGACGUAAUGAUUAAUAGGGAUAGUUGGGGGCAUUAGUAUUCAAUUGUCAGAGGUGAAAUUCUUGGAUUUAUUGAAGACUAACUACUGCGAAAGCAUUUGCCAAGGAUGUUUUCAUUAAUCAAGAACGAGAGUUAGGGGAUCGAAGACGAUCAGAUACCGUCGUAGUCUUAACCAUAAACUAUGCCGACUAGGGAUCGGAUGAUGUUAAUUUUUUAAUGACUCAUUCGGCGCCUUACGGGAAACCAAAGUGUUUGGGUUC